rnacentral:rRNA from 1 species
UACAGAGGUCUCAAGCGUUGUUCGGAUUCAUUGGGCGUAAAGGGUGUGUAGGCGGCGCGCUAAGUCGGGUGUGAAAUUUCGGAGCUUAACUCCGAAACUGCAUUCGAUACUGGCGUGCUUGAGGACUGGAGAGGAGACUGGAAUUUACGGUGUAGCAGUGAAAUGCGUAGAUAUCGUAAGGAAGACCAGUGGCGAAGGCGGGUCUCUGGACAGUUCCUGACACUGAGACACGAAGGCCAGGGGAGCAAACGGG